GUAUGGUCAAGCGACUAAGCGUAUACGGUGGAUGCCUUGGCAGCUGGAGGCGAUGAAGGACGUAGGAGCCUGCGAUAAGCCCUGGGGAGUCGGCACACAGACUUUGAUCCAGGGAUUUCCGAAUGGGGAAACCCACCUGUUUACAGGUAUCGCAUACUGAAUACAUAGGUAUGCGAGGCGAACCCGGGGAACUGAAACAUCUAAGUACCCGGAGGAAAAGAAAUCAACCGAGAUUCCCUGAGUAGCGGCGAGCGAAAGGGGAUUAGCCCUUAAGCUCUUUAUGUCUUAGUGGAAGGAUCUGGAAAGUUCCGCGAUACAGGGUGAUAGCCCCGUACACGAAAAGGCACAUUGAGUGAAAUCGAGUAGGUCGGGACACGUGAUAUCUUGACUGAACAUGGGGGGACCAUCCUCCAAGGCUAAAUACUCCCAGCUGACCGAUAGUGAACCAGUACCGUGAGGGAAAGGCGAAAAGAACCCCGGAGAGGGGAGUGAAAUAGAACCUGAAACCGUAUACGUACAAGCAGUAGGAGCCCUUCGGGGUGACUGCGUACCUUUUGUAUAAUGGGUCAGCGACUUAUUGUCUGUAGCAAGGUUAACCGCAUAGGGGAGCCGUAGAGAAAUCGAGUCUUAAUAGGGCGUUCAGUUGCAGGCAAUAGACCCGAAACCCGGCGAUCUAUCCAUGGGCAGGUUGAAGAUUGAGUAACAUCAAUUGGAGGACCGAACCCACUAAUGUUGAAAAAUUAGGGGAUGACCUGUGGAUCGGAGUGAAAGGCUAAUCAAGCCGGGAGAUAGCUGGUUCUCCUCGAAAGCUAUUUAGGUAGCGCCUCGCGUCUCACCCUCGGGGGUAGAGCACUGUUUGGGCUAGGGGGUCAUCCCGACUUACCAACCCCAUGCAAACUCCGAAUACCGAGGAGUGCAAUCGCGGGAGACACACGGCGGGUGCUAACGUCCGUCGUGGAAAGGGAAACAACCCAGACCGCCAGCUAAGGUCCCAAAUACCAGUUAAGUGGGAAACGAUGUGGGAAGGCCCAGACAGCUAGGAGGUUGGCUUAGAAGCAGCCAUCCUUUAAAGAAAGCGUAAUAGCUCACUAGUCGAGUCGGCCCGCGCGGAAGAUAUACCGGGGCUCAAACUGGUAACCGAAGCUGCGGAUGCACUAUGUGCAUGGUAGAGGAGCGUUGUGUAAGCCGUUGAAGGUGGAUCGGGAGGUCUGCUGGAGGUAUCACAAGUGCGAAUGCUGACAUGAGUAACGAUAAGGGAGGUGAAAAACCUCCCCGCCGGAAGACCAAGGGUUCCUGUCCAACGCUAAUCGGGACAGGGUUAGUCGGCCCCUAAGGCGAGGGCGAAAGCCGUAGUCGAUGGGAAACAGGUUAACAUUCCUGUACUUGCUAUUGCUGCGAUGGAGUGACGGAGAAGGCUAGGCCAGCACGGCGAUUGGUUGUCCGUGUUUAAGGUUGUAGGCUGGGGACUUAGGCAAAUCCGGGUCCCUAAGGCUGAGAGCUGACGACGAAGCCUACUUAGGUAGGUGAAGUGGUUGAUGCCAUGCUUCCAGGAAAAACUUCUAAGCUUCAGGCAAUAGUGAACCGUACUCGAAACCGACACAGGUGGUCAGGUAGAGAAUACCAAGGCGCUUGAGAGAACUCUGGUGAAGGAACUAGGCAAAAUGGUACCGUAACUUCGGGAGAAGGUACGCCGGCUUUGGUGAUGGGACUUGCUCCCUAAGCUGAGGUCGGUCGAAGUGACCAGGUGGCUGCGACUGUUUAUUAAAAACAUAGCACUCUGCAAACACGUAAGUGGACGUAUAGGGUGUGACGCCUGCCCGGUGCCGGAAGGUUAAUUGAUGGGGUUAGCUUCGGCGAAGCCCUUGAUCGAAGCCCCGGUAAACGGCGGCCGUAACUAUAACGGUCCUAAGGUAGCGAAAUUCCUUGUCGGGUAAGUUCCGACCUGCACGAAUGGCGUAACGAUGGCCACGCUGUCUCCACCAGAGACUCAGUGAAAUUGAAAUCGCUGUUAAGAUGCAGUGUACCCGCGGCUAGACGGAAAGACCCCGUGAACCUUUACUACAGCUUUGCACUGAACUUUGAGCCUACUUGUGUAGGAUAGGUGGGAGGCUUUGAAGCAGGAACGC
rnacentral:rRNA from 1 species